CGUGUGCCUUCUUGAGCUGUUUAUCCUAGGCGUGUGCCUUCUUGAGCUGUUUAUCCUAGGCGUGUGCCUCUGGAAACCUGUUUUGUUUGCUGGCCAUCCUCCUGUCAACGGUGUGCACAUAAACGGUACAACUCUCCCAAAAGCAGUAUGAAAUGAGAUACGUGCACGGGAAAACAAAUCUGAAAGGAACAAGACAAACCGCACAGCAUGCUCAACAUCAGCAGAUGGAGAUAGAUGGAAGAGCGAGGUGGGAGAAAAGGACAGGAAUAUGUCUAACGUCUCACCCUUCAUCGAGUGGAGCCCUCUGUGAAUGCAGCCUGCUGUAUCAUCCACCUGUGUGGGGGACAUCUUUGGUCUGUCAAAGAAGAGGAUCUUUCAUUUACCAGAGUUGUGAUCUGUUGAGGAAAAAUCUCUUUGAUAUGUGCUAGAAAAGGAUGACUGUACAGUGGGGAUCUCUCCUCAUUGUGUGUUUCUGAGGAGGAUCUUUUGUGCUGGCCAAGGCUCUCGGGAAUAAUGGUUAAUAGGAUACUGUGGCUGCACAUGUUACAUUGCAUCAGCCCAUAGAAAAUACGUGAUUCAGGGAUGGCCCCCUCACUAUUUGAAUCGUCAACAUUACAUGUUGACUAUGCUGACCUUUGUUUUGGUGAAGACUAAAAAAUAAUUGCAUGACAAGGGUGAUAGGAUGAAUUUGAGCUAUAAAUGCAUUGAACUCAACAUCUGUCAAUAAUGCGAAAGACACCACCCUGUCUUGACGGAACACUCCAAAAGAACGACAAGCGACAGGGUGAGGAGGAGGAACAAGAGGAGGAACAGAAGGGAGAAUAAAAGGGUCAUCAUGAUUUUGACGUUGCCCUUCUCCUACCAUGCUCCCAUACCCUGUGUGGGCGCUGUGUCGGGGGUGGGGAGGGGGCAGGGCGAUGUGUACUAAGUGAGGAAGGGGUGUGCCAUGCUUCCCAUACCCUG